rnacentral:lncRNA from 1 species
UAAAUUUAUCUUAAAAUAGUUUAGAAAAUGGGAAUGCAUUUAAUCUACAAAUGAGACACUAUUUCAUUGGAGUAAAUUAUAAGCAUCAGUGAUUGCAUUUUUUUUCUUUAAACAGAAGAAGCAGAGUAUCGCAGCAAAUCUCAAACCUGUAGAUGGAUUAUGGGUUUAAUACCUUCUUCGUUUCCUGCAUGAUGACAGGGGGAAAUGAAAAGUGCUAACUUCAUCUCUACAAGAUGUUAAGGUCAGGGUUUUACCAUUUGAGAUCUCUUGAGCAAGGACUGGGACUGGAAUCCCAGAAUACGAGUCCCCACUAACAUAGACUGGAUUCAAAAUGAAGUCUGGAUGAGCCAUCAGCCACUGUAUUCAAAUUUGAAACCUUCUAUUUCAGAUAAAUGAUUACAUUUACAUACACAUGUAACACUGAUUAUCUACUUUAAAUUAAUGGUCGCUGAACCGAAGAAAGCUGACCUUACGAAGAAAUUGAUGGAGAUGGUGAACUUGUUUCAAGUCACCGGUUUGUGCAGCGCGAUUGUUUCUAGCAUAGGAGAAACCUGUGCCUACUGGUGAAUCUAUAAAUACGAUGUUUGACACCUGAAAAUAUAUCAUCAUUGUUCAAGCUUCGUUAUUAGUAAUCUUAAAACAAAAACCACAACAACAACGAUCUGGUUGAGUAGAUGAUAUGAUUUGAUCACCUUUGUCCAUGCGUAUGGGUUGUAAACCAACGUAGGCAAGCUUCCAUUGUACACGUCGACCUUGAAUUUCAAUGGACCUGCAACGCUGAUUUCAAUUUGAUGAUCCUAUUUGGAUAUCAACUUAUCCUCUAAGAUCUGACUUUAGAAACAAAUUUGAUACAUGUUAUUUGUUGAUAAUUUUGAAAAUUUCGGACACAUUAAUAUAAAUGUAAAAUUACUACUCAUCAAAACAAAGGUUAACAUGCAAACAACUUUUAAAUUAAAAAGAAAUUAACUUUUAAAUCUUCAUUAGACCUAAAUUAGUCAUUGUUGAUUAUUGAUUUUGGAAAGAAACAAUUUUUUUUUCAAGUGUUUAAGCAUAUUUCGAAUAUACUGUAUUUUGAUGGUGUCUGAUUUUAUUUCUAGUUGAUAUUUAAUUUUAUUUAUAAUUUUUUUAACAUGUCUUAAAAAAAAUUGACACUUAAACACAAAUCUGACACUUGAACAAUCAUUGUGCUUCACAGUUAGAUAGUCCAUCAAAUAAAAUUCCAUUCAUUCUUGGGUUCUUAGAUAUGAAGCAUCUGGUCGUUAGGGGCACAAAAUUUAGGUUUGCAAUCGGAAGUGUCCCUUUUUCUUUAAGCAAAGAACAUGUAAUUAAGUAUAGUGGAAUAUGGGUGGGAUUACCAAUUUCGUAAACAAGACCAGAGAAGGCAGAGCAGCCAGGGCCACCAGUCAACCAAAACAAAAGAGGGUCGUCUUCAGGUUUCCCCUCCGACUUCACAAAGUAGUAAAAGAGUUGAACUUCUUCUGAAUCACCCACACCAACAUACCUGACAGAAAGCAACAUAUACACCCAUCAAACAACUAUAUAUCUCCACAACCAAAAAGAGGGUAAAAUUUAGGUUACCCGGUUUCAAGUUCAAAAGGAAGAGGUCCUUCAAAUCCUGGAAGAAACUUGACAGCAGAACCAUAAGCCAAAGCGAGCUGAGAAAGAUAGAAGAAAAACAAUAGGAGGGCCAUCUUAUGAUGUGUUAAUGCUGCCACUAACAACUUAGCUCUUCAACCAUGGUAUCUUAUAUUAGUUUCACAUUCAGAACGUACGUGGGAUGAGCUCUUUUGAAUCGUCACAAAACGAGAGCGGCUACACGUUUUUGUUUGUGUUUGUAUUUUAUUUAUGUGAAUAAAGUCAGUGGCUAUGAUGUUUUGGUUUGGCUUUCGUCCAACAUCUUCAAUGGACAUUCUGACAAAAUUGAAGUGAAACAGUCGGGCGGUCAUUGUCUAUCCUUAAUGUUUACAUUUUGUAUACGUGUUUGUAUUUUAAUGAGUCUAGAAUUCAAUCCAUUGUUGAAUUUAAAUGCGUUUGUUUUUUUAUUUAAGAUUUUAAUCCAACCUUUGAACCUAUCCAAUCAUUUUAACUUGGUAAUAAUUUUAAUGUAAGCUUAAUAAGAUAGUAAUUUUUUUUAUAGAAAAUAUAUGAAUUAGAAUUUUUAAAUGAAAAAAUUAAUAGUAUUAUUUUUAAAAAAAUUUUAAAUAGACAAAUUCAAUUUCAAAUUUUGUCAUUGCACAAAAUAUUUUAACUCUUUUUGGGUUUAAUUUGAAACCUUAUUAAAUUGUUUGUUUUUAUAUUAUAUUAUUUUUAGGGUAAAUUAUACUUAAGGUUAUUAAAUUAUUAAUAAAUUUAUGGUCUGUUGUUCAAUUUAAAAAAUUAUAAAAUAGUUAUUGAACUAAUAAAAGAUUUUCAUUUAAGUUACUGAACCAUCUAAACUAAUAAAAUUAAAAACAAGUAGAGUAUAUAUAGGAAAGAGAAAAUGAUCAUUGGAGAAAAAAUGUUGGUCAACUAGCAGAUGGUCCCAACAAUUUAUAUAAUUUUUUUUAAAAAACCCAGCAUUGGAAUGAGACAGCACCACGUGGUGAAAAUGCACUUUGUAAAACGCGUUUUCACUCUCUCUCUUGCAUGUCACUUGAAAGCGCGCUCUACAAGACGCAUUUUUACCCUACCCUGUGCCAUGUCACCUGAAAGCGUGUCUUACACGUCAUGUUUUUACUUUCUCUCUUCAAAAUUGGUCUAUUUCCCUAAUUUCCAAAUAAAACAGCUUAAAAACCUAAUUGGUGUUUUAAACCAAUAUAUAUGCCUAAUUUUGCUAAAUAUGUUAUAAGAAAUAAAUCUCAUAAUUUUUUUUGAAUAUAUAAUUCUCAUAAUUUAUGGUUUAAAAGAAAAAUUAGAAUCACUUCUUUUUACACUUCCUAAUUAUUUUUUUAAACAAAAAUUUCUCAAACAACAAAAUAAACUAUUACUUCUAAUAAUUUUUUUCCACUUUAAUUAAUUUGGAUAAAAGAUUUUAAGCAUAAAACCAAAAAUUUGUCUAGGAUCUGAAAUUAAUUCUGUCAAUCAGACAGGUGAAAUUGAAUUAAGAUUAGUGACUUGAGAGAUUAACUUUGAAUUUAUUUAUUUCCUAUUGCUACUGACAUUGUUGUUAUUUUAUUCACUUUAUUGACAUGCUCUGCUUAUUUCUCCAAUAGGUUGUAACAAUGGUAACUUUUAUUAGAAAGCAGAUAUCGGAAUCGCCAUGGGAUCUGGAACAGCUAUUGCAAAAGUAUGCAUCAUUUGCCUAUCUCAUGUUCAUUUUCAUUUUUUUCAUAAGUGGUAGGAUGUCUAAAAUCAUAAUCUUAUUGAUGCGGUCGUUGAGAGCAUAAAAAAUAUUCUAUUCCCUGUAAAAUAAUGAAAAAGAAUAUUAAAGGGGAAGUAGGGUCGAAUUCUCAGGGAUCGGAUUAUACGAAUUCUUGUUUCUCGAAAUUCUGGGCAGAAUCGUGCCCAAGAAAACCUGCGUGACAGAAAAAGAAUAACAGAAUUAAAUAUUUGAUUCAGAAAAAAUAAAAAACAGAAUCUAAAGUUGACUGAAAUUGUGAUUACAAAAAUAAUAAAAAUAAUAAAAAGAGUUGAAGGAAAAGAAAUUCUUAUUGGUAGAUUCCAGCCUCCAGUUGUCUCAUUCCGCCUUGGGUUCGAUCCUCGGCUUUUAAAUGAUCCUUCUCAACUUAAGUAAGCCAGUUAUAAUGGAAGAGGACGCCUACGACCACCAGCUCCAAAGAUUAGACUUACGAUUUUUAAGGAACCUGACUCUAGCGAGUAAUCUAUGCUAGAUCAACGCUUCUCAAUGGUGAAUCCCACGCCAUUUCGUCUCUUUGGCUCGUCAACCUCUAACGCAGUAAGUUAACGAACCGACUAUGCAAUCCUUCCAAAACAUACAAAGCGGCCGCCUUUGCAUAUGCUGAAAAGCUUACUUCUUAAGGGUCAUGGAUAGAAGCAUCAGCCCAUAGUGCGGAGAAACGACGAAUACUUGGCGAGAAGGCUAAGAACAGAUUCUAGGCCUCAAGAACCCCUUUUUGGGGAAUAUUGACAACUUUCGGCUAAAUAGGUUUUAGUGGCUCAUGAUAAUGGUGGAAAAGAAAAUAAAUAUAAAAAUGGAAAAGGGAAUUUUAUUGAAAGAAAAUAUGAAGAAACAAAAGCCUAAACUUUCAGGGGGAGAGUGUUUACAGAAAAAGAUGAACACCAAAUAGAGUCACUUCACCCCCUAUUUAUAGUGUUAAGGAGAUAGUCUAAUUUAACUUAAAUUCUAAAAAGAUAAAUACAUCUAAUUAAAGAUAAAUAAAAAUAAUUAAAAUAAAAUCCUAAAAUUAAAUAAUCCUAAUAAUUAUCUUAAUAUUAAUGAUCCUAAUAUAAAUAAAAUAGAGUCUUAUAAAAUAAAAUCUCUUCUUUUUGCGUUUUUAGUCCUUGUAUCUUUCAUACUCGCACUUUUGGUACAAUCUUUUUCCUGUGUCGCAUAUCAGCCCAUUGUGUCUCUAAAUUCGCACUUUUGUCCCUUAAUUUUGCUUUUGCCUCCAAAUCAGUCCCUAAUCGAUAAAAAGACAUAAAUAACUCAAAUUAGUAGGAUCAAGCUCAGAAUAAACACAUGAUUAAUACAUAAAAAUACGUUAUUCUAGAGCAUUAUCACUUAUAAAAUACCAAAAAUAUGAGAUCUAUUUUCUACAUUAGUAGGACCAAUAAAUAUCCUUUUCACUCUGAUGUUGUUGAAGUUAAAGUGAUUCCCAUUUUAUCUGAUACAUGUUCACUUUGAUGUUACUUGAUUCUGUCAUAAUCCUCUUUUACCUAUUAUCAGUUCACUAUUGAUUCUGUCAUGGUCUCAGUGCCAGAAGUUGCUUUGAUCAUAAAUCCUUGAAACGUUCUUAUUAAUUUCCCCAGUUUAAAGUUCAAAUUUAAUUGAUGAGUUUCACCUCGGCAGAUAGCAACGAGUUACUAUUACGAAUAACAUGAUUCAUGUCUAUUAUUAUUUUGGUGUUUGUCAAUCACAAAGGUUGCCCUGAUAUCCACCUUCUAAACAUUGCAAAAUAUUCUGCAGGCUUCUUGUCAGGAGCCGUAUGCCCUCCUCCCUACAAAUUCAACCAGACUAUUUAGAGCGUAUAAAUAAAUAAAGAUGAUGAAAAAACAACAAAGCUGUCCAUUAAUUUCCAUUCAAGGACUAUGAACGAAGAAACAUAAGCAGAAGAACAACUUCCGUGCCUUGACACUAGCAAAUGUCAUCCUGUUAGAAUAAGUCCUUGUAUAUCUACACAUUUUGGCCAUCCCAAGAACCUCAAUCAGCUUCUUCUUUACAUCCAAAUUUCAAAUUAAUUAAUUAAUUAAAAUAACUCAGACUGACCCUGCAAUUUGGCCUUGCACCUUCCAUGGUCGCCAGUCAUCAAUAAUUGGAUAGUUCAAAAAUCUUAUCCAUGCUUGAGUUGCCAAGUAUGGCACCACCGUGUCAUGGUCGCCACUGCAUAGAGAUGAAAAACACAACUAUACUUCAACUUUAACAAAUAUAAUUAUCUAUAAUAAAAAUAUGAAUUUGGGUAAACUUUUGAACUGACCUAUAUAGCUUUUGUUUUAUAAGUUUUAUCGUAUUUGUAAGUAAAAAUUUUAAUUUGGGUUCUAUCCAAUGCUAGUAGAGUAAAAAAUUUUCACAAGCGGAUCUAAAAUGAUAUCAAAUAUUUUUUUUAGUUAUUUAAUUAUUAUUUUAUUAUACCCCAAUAACAAAUGACAUCAUUCUAGACCCGUUUGUGGAGUUUUUGUUUUUUACUUUAAUAGGAAAUAGUCCUUUUAAUUUUAAUAAAAUAUUUUUUAAUUAAAUUUACUUCUUAAUAAAAUUUAUCUUACUUAUACAUAAUAAUUUUGAUUCAAUUAAAAGACUUUCAUUAAAUGAAAAAUAAAUUAAAAAAAUUAUUUAUAUUAUUAUGUUUCUAUUAACCAAAAACUAAAAAGGAAAAAAAAAUAUUGUUUUAGUUUUAAAAUAGAAAACUAUAUAUUUCAACUUUGAUUCUCGUUCUAAAUUAAUCUUCAAACUUUAUAACAUUUUAAUUAUAUUAUUAAAAUAUCAAUUUUAUAUUAAUAAGGUCCUUCUAGUACUAAAAUUAUUAAUUUAACCAUUAAAUGAGAGUCAAGAUCUUAUAUAAUAUAAAUUAAAAUGAAAAACUUAAAAGAAAAUUGUAAAAAUAGAUAUGGUAAAAAUAUUGAUUUUAAAGUUUCUGAACCUUUUAUCAAAAAUAAUACUCAAACUUUCAUUAUGUUAGUUCUUUUGACCCAAUCGUUAGUUCUAUUAAAAAAAAAAAUCAUUAUCCAAUCAAAGUUCUCUUUCCGCGCUAAUUCCAUCCUUGCUUUAGCUUCCCACAAGAACAAGUAAUUAGCUCCAAAGUGAUUAUCUCAUAAUAUUGAAAGAAAUGAAAAACUCUCCCUUGAUAUCUAAGGGAAAGAUUAAUUUUGAAACAUAUCAUAAUUUGAUUGAGUAAGAAACUUUUUUAAAUGGAAUCAAACAAUUGGAGCAAAAAUAAUAAUGGAACCAAAGUUUAAGUACCACUUACUAUAAAAUUGAAGGGCUAAUUUUUCAUUUAAGCCUAUUGAAACACUCAUUUGGCAUGAGUUCAAAUCGUGUUAACUCUAUCUCUUAUCGUCAAUAUUGUAUAAAAAAUAAUAUUUGAAUUGUUAUACAAAUUAAUAUAUUUUAAUUAUAUUUAAUCAUAUAAAUAAUAAUAUAUUAUUUAAAAAAUAAAAUCACAAACUAGUAAAAUUAAAUACCCACCUGUAUAUUAAAGCGCGGUAGCCUUUGGCGCUGAGGAUGGCAUGAUAUGGAAAGCUAGUUGGAACAUCAGAGUCAUAAGGGAAUUCAAGAUUGCACCGCAGCCAUUUUGCUAUGCUUCCCUAAAUCAAAUCACAACAGUUGCUUCUUUUAAUUGUACAAAAACACGCAACUGCUUAGAAGUAUUGUUGAGACAUAUCAAUUGAACCAACGACGUAAUACCUUCCUAAUUUGGAGAGUGUUUCGGACAUCAGCAUCGAUAGCCCAAUAAAGACAAAGGUAUAAUUCGUAAGUCUGCGGGCAAAGAAGUUAAAAAUCAAUCAAAUUUAAGUGCAGGAAUGGAGAGCCUAAAAUAGUGGGCAUUUUCAAAAAACAUGUGUUGUAGUUCAUCUUUAAAGAGUUGGUGUCCAUCAAGAUAACGCCUUCGACUGGUUUUUCUUUAUUUUACGACAUUCCAACCACAAUUAGGUCUUAAAAUAUGAACUUUGUUGAUUCCUGAUGUAGACUGAAAAUUGCAAGAUUAUCAAACAAAUUCCUUUUAAAUUUAUUAAGGAAAGGCACUUUUAUGUAUAUACUUCAUCCAAGUAUCGAACAUCUGCCAAACACGCUUUGUUAUCGGGAUCUAUAUUUUGAUAUUCUCCCUUACAAUUUUUUUUCUAAUGACUGGAAAAAAAUAAAGUCAAUAACUUAAUGCUUGGUAACAAUCUUGUUUUCUUGGGCGGUGGAAAAAUGUGGAUUAGAUAAAGAUAAUUUCACCUCAUAAAGUUCGUCAGAAAUUAUUCCCAUUCUAUGAACAUAUGAAAUCAUGAAGUUUUCUUCAAGAUUACGUCUUGUUAUGGGAUUUCUCAGCAUGUAUCCCUAAAAAGCAAUUAGGAAAUUAAUAUUGUCAAGUGAAUUCCAACAAUAUAAGCCUGUUCAUGUUAAAUAUCAGUACUAUCUAUGAGAAGACAUUAUUUCAAUGCUAGUAUAUAGACACUGUGCAACCUCAACUCAUGAACCGAAUGUAUCAAAUUGGAUAAAUGAACAGACACAUAAAAUUUCAUAAAAUAUUUAUAUACUUUUUUAAAUAUGAAUUAGUGUGGAUUGCAAUGUAAAUCUUUUUUUUUCUUGGUUCAAGGGAUAAACUUAGGAAAAAUAAUAAUAAAACCCUUUUACGAAAAGACAAAAAAUAUUAGUAAAAGAGUUUAAUUAAUAUAAUUUGAAAUCAGUUUUUUUAUGGAAAGACUGAAUUGAUUUUUUCUCCAAAUUUCGGUGAUUACAUUCUCAUCUAUCCUUCCAAUUAAAGAUAUUAAUAUGCAAGGAUUCUUAAUUGUUAUUUGUUUCCUCAAGACUUAAUAGCCAAUAAAUUUAUCUUAAAAUAGUUUAGGAAAUGGGAAUGCGUUUAAUCUACAAAUUUUAAGCACCAAUGAUCGCAUUUAUUUUCAAAAACGAAAGAAGCAGAGUAUCGCAGCAGAUAUCAAACCUGUAGAUGGAUUAUGGGUUUGAUACCUUCGUUUCGUGCAUGAUGAAGGGGGAAAAUGAAAGUGCUAACUUCAUCUCUACAAGAUGUUAAGGUCAGGGUUUUACCAUUUGAGAUCUCUUGAGCAAGGACUGGGACUGGAAUCCCAGAAUACGAGUCCCCACUAACAUAGACUGG